CUAACAAUAAUGGAAUAACCAGUUUUGAAAUAAAUUUUGUUUAGUUUUGUGCAAUUUGUAUACACUCAUUAUUGUAUACGAAUAACACAUACACUCAACGUCAUAUCUUGGGAUAUGUGUGAUAUAAAAAAAAUAAAAUUUUUUGUGUGGAUAGUCCCAGCAAUUGCCUUCAUAUUCAAUUGUUUAAAACAAUUUUAACCUCUUUGAAUAUGAAGAGAUGUGAGUGCAGCACUAAAAAGGCGAUUUGCCGCUGUUUCGUUCGAUUCUGCAUCCGUUGAUUUUGUGCCAGUGCUGAACUGGAGGGUAAUUACACAAAGGACUAACACAUUUGUAUGUACUUUUUUAUGUGCAUGCGGCGGGAGAGUAAAAUCUCGUAAAAAGCCGAUAGGUGGCGCUUUUUUGUUAGCUGAGCAGUGGGUGUCGGAUAGUCUAGACCGUUGACAAACGCUUGUUUUCUUGUAUAAAAUUUAAAAUCCAAAAAACUUGACAUACUUGUGUGAUUUUUGUUGCUUUUAUGUGCAAAAUCCGCUAUGGGUCUAUUCCUAAACGGUAGAUCAAUAUCAUAAAAUCGUGUGGUACCUUAAACUAAAACUAAUGUUAUGUGUA